UCCCUGGUGGCUCAGUGGUAAAGAAUCUGCCUGCAAUGCAGAAGACCAGGGUUCCAUCCUUGGUCAGGAAC
rnacentral:tRNA from 1 species